CAGCACCCGCCUCCCAGUCUCUUAGGCAGAAAAGGAGCCUGUUGUCCGGACAUCAGGUGGCUCACAGAGUCGCCGGGGGUCUGCAUAACCAGGCUCGGGAAAUGAGCAGGAACGGGGGAGUCUGGGUGACUGGAGGCAGGGGUGGAAUCGCUGCCCACACCGCGGCUGUGACUGCUGCCUUCAGAGAUGGCACACGGCUCCUGCCUUCUCUUGCCUGCUUGCCCUAGCUCGCCCACUGACUGGAGGGCGCGGGGGUCUGGACUUUAGCUCAGUUGCUGCCUCAAAUCCGUUCUGCUCAUCAAGCGGCCUGGGGAUGUUGGACUGAUCCUGAGACCCACUGCAAGCACCCGCCCUGGGAGCAGCUGCAGUCCCAGGAAGCAUGCGCUGCAGGCAUGGCUCACAAUUGCCCUUCGUGUCUUACAGCCACUUGGAUCAGACCCCGUGGGACUCACCAAAACCUCAUUCUUCCAGUGUGAAUUGACCAACCCAGCCUGGGAACCCAAACACUGCACCCAGAACCCCAAUAAACCUGGAGGUCCACCUCCCUCCCCACCUGGGGGUGCGGGCUGUGCCUCCUCCAGGGCCCGAGAGCCUCUCUUCGAUUGCUGCGGCGGUCUCUGCUGAAGCUCGGGCCCACCUUGUGGCCCUUGCCGUGUGUUAACCCACAAGCCUCCCGGGUAGGUAGGACAAUGCAGCUGGGGUCACAGCAGGUGAACGGCUGGUGGGGGGUGGCCCUCAGCCUGUGGCUGCCUGGUGAAUCUGAAAGCUUGUUGAUCGGUUCAUGCUGUUGAAGCUCCAGGGGCUCCCUGUUUCCUGCAGGGUCGCACCUGAUCCCCCAGCGUGGCAUCCCAGGGCCCCAGGGUCUCAGCCCCACACGUCCGAACUCUUCUCCUGUGGCCCGACAGCUACGUGCUUGUUGGAAGCAGAAAGCCCGGGAGGGGAUGUGGGUCCCAGGGGUUGGCCAAGCCCCCAGGACACCCGCAGACUCUGCCCUCUCCCCGUGUCCCCGAGGUGUCUGGGCCCCCAGGGCCUCCCCCCAUGUCACAGGCUGCCUCCAUCGGGCUCCCAUAGUCUCCCAGCUGAGCCCCGGGUUCUGGAGCCCAGCGCCCAGGGCAGCCCAGCUCUCGCUCAGACUCUCCUCUCUGUGGGCAGAAGGACCCUCCCCCCACCCCCAGUUGCCAGGAAACAGCAGACAAUGACCGACCCCUCUGGGGCUUCCAGAGCCUGCCCACCCACAGCUUUGUUCCUCUGUCUCUGCAGCGGAUGGAGCUCCUUGCAGGCACCGAACGCUCCCCAGCAGGCAGGGUGAGCGUGCCUGGAAGGAUGGGACCAGAAGCUGCAUCUUCUGCCCUGCCCCUUGCAGGGGGAGUCCCUGAAGCUGGCCCUGAGAUGGCUGGGGAGUGAGCCGUCCAUCUGGGGGUGAUCCCAGCGGCACGGGGGUGUGGGACACGGACAGGGCUUGUUCAUGGCCGCUGGCUGCUGGGCCCCUGGCCUCAGUGCCUCCCAGGCCCCUGACCCUAGCCCUAACCCCGGCCGGGCCCCCGGCUGUCCAGCUUCACAUCCCCAGGGCUCCUCCUGAGAGUGACUGGCACUUCCGCCUUCCCAGUGUAGAGGCUGAGCCUCCUCUGGUGCCAGGGGGUGCCUCUGGGCAGGGCUGUGGGCCUUGCAUUGGGAAGCGGGGGAUGAGGAGAUGCACAGCAAGGUCGGGGUGAGCUGAAGGGGACCAGUGACCUCGCAUCAGUGGACGGAUGUUACGGUCCAGCCACAGUGAGGCUGGGAUCUGGGCCUGGGCCCCGGGUUCUGCACCCCCCGGGGACGCAGACGUGGACCAAGGAACGUCCCGUUCAAGUCCCCUUGUACUGGGUCUGUGUUUCAGAACCCUACCUACGUGUUAGCUACACUCGGGGCUCGAGCGACAACUUUCCAGACCCAGUGUUCCCGGAGUCCCUGUCUCCGGCCUUGCUCUACGGAUUUGGAUUCUGUCACAGGCGGAUGUCAGGGCUGCUGGGGGGAAAUUACAGGCUGCUCCGGCUGACGCUGAAGUUGCAUCCCUAACUGCUCCCUUCACCCCAGCUCCAUGAUGGCCCGGGGGGGUCCCGCUCCAGCUGGGACUCGCGGGCCUCGGGGGCUGCUCAGCACGGGGGUGCGCCAGCCCCGCUGUGCAGCAGCCUCGGGAUGAGUCAGAAUAAAUUAGCAUGCUAACGAGGGGGAACUGCA
rnacentral:lncRNA from 1 species